AAUGUCUGGGCAGGGGCUGUAAAAUUGGAACAGGUCCCCCCUCAAUCCUUAAUGUGGUGGCAGAGACCCCUGAGGGGAUGUGCAGAGGGCCUUGGUUCUCAGCUGGGCUGUGGAGCUGGGCCCUCAGGGAGUUUUGCAUACCCACGAAGCUGCUCUCUCAGGCUCCUCUGGCAGGGAGCGUCAGGAUGAGAAUCCAGACCUGACUGCCACCCAGCCCUCUCACUUUGCAGAUGCAAAAAUCCAGACUCAGAAAGGGAAGUAACUUCUCCAACAGGGCGGGGUCUGAAGCCCAGGGUCACGACCCCACCAAGCUGGCCCUGCAGGAGCCUCCUGAGAGGUGUCUCGGGAGCAGACCCAGGGGAAGGGGGCACUGUGCACCCUUGCUGGGUAGGCAAAAGUCUGUCUGCUUCUUGGCAGCUGUGUGGCUUCAAAGCCCAGAGAGCAGGAACUGAAGACUGAGCAAGCCACCCCUCUCCUGUCCCAGACCCACCUGAACCCACCAAAGCUGGGAAAGGAGGGGUAGUGGAGACUCCAGAAAAACAGGAAAAAUUUAAACACAACCACUAAGUAAAGCGUCAUUAACUCCUGUUGUGCUGAGCCCACAAACAGCCCCAGCACUCACUGUUCUACUGUCUGUUGCUGUGCAUUUGACAACUCUAGGGACCUCAUCAUAGAAUCAUGAAUGGAGUCUCUAUGAGGGCAGGGAUGUUGGUUGGCUGUAUCCUCGGGCUGGAAGAGCACCGGCACGCAGCAGGCACUGAAUAGAAUUUCUAAAUAUACAAACGGAUGAACCAAUGGAUGGAUGGAUGAAUGAAGACCCUGUAUAGGUCAGUGCCUCAAAUGUCUGUGCCUCGCCUGGAGUUAUGUCCCUCACCCCCACUGUAGAUUAACUCCUCGUCCCACCCUACAGCUUUGGAACUGAAGCCCUAGGCCCACCACCCCUGAGAGGUAGCAGUGCUCAGCGUGGCAGGACGCCCCACUUGAUGGUAGGCUUCUUCCAGAUGGCUAACUGCUUCAAGUCUUUCCCCCAGAUGUAACAUGUCUAUGGGAGGAUUAUGACAUGGGCAGAUGAGAGUCCCCAGCCAUGGAGGUGACAAUGUGCCCUGGAGCCUCACAGGGCAGCAGCCACCAGGAAGAGGCAUGGAGGCCAGGAAGGUCCUGAACACCAGAAUUCGGCCAACAGAGCCUGAAGCCAGCACAUCGUGGAGGGGCAGCAGCCUGGGGGCAUUCGGGAGAUCUGGAGACAUGGCAGCUGGUCAGGAGCUGGGCUACAACCUUGACAAUCACUAACCUCUCACCUCCUCGUCCUGCCAGGCUAUUUAUAGCCUCCCUGUCUCUGAAAACUCCUUCACCCAUUUUUCUGAGCUUAACAAGCUUGGUGAAUUGAAAUCAGGUGGACCACCUCCCCAACCUCAGCAAGCCUGCUGGGGUGACUGCAUUCAGGCCAGGCCUGCUGGCAGCUCCUGCUCCAUGACAGGGACCCUUGAGGGCCUGCUGAGAGUCACAGGGUUGGGGUGUCCCCGGGAAGGUGGCAUCUAAAGAGAGGGCAGCAGCUGGGCACCCAGGCAGACCUCAGCCAGAGAUGCUGGACGAUGGUGACCCCAGAAGGGCUCAGCUCACCCCAGGCCUCCUCCCUGCUUCAGGAAAAACAAACAGAUUGGGACAGUGGAAAAACAGCUGUACCUUUAAAUUAUCUGGCCCACAGAUAUGAAAAACAUUUGCAUGCUGAAGCUGUUUGCAUCUUCGGUUAUUUUUAGGGUGAACCCAGUUGCCUCCCCUUGGAACCGGAUGAAGCCCCAGAGGCACGUAGUCCUUUUUCCCAGACGGGGGUCCUGGUCCUGUUUCCCUGGGAAUAAGGCUUGAGCAUGAGCUCUCUGGGACCCAGCCCCGGACCAGAACCACACGGUGCAUUCAGGCUCAGGAGGAACUGGAGCACCAGGGAGCCAAGGCUGCAACUUUGAACAUUUGCCACUGCUGACAUCGUGGCCACCCACCUGGGGCCAGAAAGAGCCCCUCUGCUGCCCCCAGAGCAUGGGUGAAGAGAUGAACGCUUAGCCUACUGCCUCCUCUCAUGCCAGGCCCAGCUGAUGGGAUAUUUUGCUGAGAUAUUUCUAGCGCCAGCAGCAAUUAAAGCAGAUUUUCUCUUCCACUCCCCUUCCCCAAAACAAGAAUAAAUCAGUUCUACCAAUUUCCCAGCUAAUGAUUUCCUCCAUUAAAUUAAAAAGAAGAAGAAAAUGUUUUCUUAAAUGGAUUACCAGCCCUGUGCUUUCAGAGACCAUGUGACCUGUCAACUCCUUUUAAAGUCUGAUACAUCAAAGUCUCUGAAUUAAUUUUUAAUAAAUAAAAAAGUCAUAAUCUAAGAAGCACCAUCCCACACGCCCCCCUCCCCCGUCAAGGGUCAGCUCUGAGCUGACUCUGGGAAGCCAGCUUAAUCGGGCCAAGUAUGGCUCUUAAUAGAGAACCAGAUCCAUUCCACAGAUGGGAGAGACAAGGCUGAGAGAUGUCAGGUGCCCAAGCACAGAAAUCAGGCUCUGAGAUGAACCUAGAGUUGUGGCAUGCACUGUGGAGUCCUACAUGUGGAACUGAGUCCUUGAUUUCAAGGGGCGCCUGUCUGGAGAGAUGCAAACAGGUAGAUCGAGGAGCUGAGGAGUAACUAAGUAGGUGUGAGCUAGCGCCAUCUGCAUGAGCCAGAUGGGGGCUCCUGGGCAGGACCUGGGCAGGACCUGGGCUUCUCUUCCUCUUUUGCUCCCUGGCAGCACCUGGUAUAGGUGCUGCACUGUGUGCUGACAUCCCCUUUGCUUCAAAAAGCCCACCCACUACAACACAGACAAACCUCAAAAACAUGAUGCUGAGCAAAAGAAGCCAGACACAAAUGGCCACAUAUUGCAAGACUCCGUUCCUAUGAAACAUCUAGAAGACGCAAAUCCAUAGAGACAGAGAGUACGGCAGAGGCUACUGGGGGUGAGGAAAAGGGUUGGGAGUUGUUAGUUAAUGGGUGCAGUUUCUGUUUGGGAUGAUAAAAAAAAUUCUGGAAACGGAUAGGGGUGAUGGUUACGCACAUUGUAAAUGUACUUAUGCCAAUGAACUAUACACAUAAAAGUGGUUAACACAGAAAAUUUUAUGUUAUGUAUAUUUUAUCACAAUUAGAAAAAAUACAAGGAGAAAAAAGCCCACUCUCCAAAAUGCAACUUGAAGAUACAGGAUGGCCAAUAACUCCACAGGGACAAUGGUGGGACCCUCUGCAAACUGCCCCCAGCCAGACUCAAUGCUUAAAGCACAGCGCAGAGGCCCACAGGGCCUGUCUUCUCAUGUAUGAACACCAGGGACCUUCAGAGAAGGGCUCUUUGUGUGAGUCAGCAUGACUGAGCCAGGAUGCCCUGUCUCCCUGGCGGCCAGCCAGAUGCCACAGGGCAGGCAGGGGCUGAGAAGUCUCUGUGGACACCUCCCUGGAAGGCACCUCCUGGUCUUGGCAUUCACUGCACCCUCUUCCUGAAAUGCACUUCCCGGAUAUUCGGUAACUUGCUUCCUACGUUUAUUUAGGUUUUCACAGGGAGGUCCUCUCUGACCAUCUACAGUUAGAAAAAUACUGGGAAGGUUGCUGGAGCCAGGCAAGGUAGCCGUGAGCAAGAACAGGAAAGCCAGGGCCCCAACACUAUGACAUGCCAGCACCUUCCUACAGAAAAGCAGCUUGCAGGGGGCAUCAGGUCCUGGCUCCAUCAUUUACCAGCUAGAGGGCCUUGGCUAGUUCCUUCAACCCUCUAAACCUCGGUUUUCUCUUCUACAAAAUGGGGGUGAAGACAGUGUUUGUCUCUUGGGCUUUUCUGAGGACUACAAUGAGAUGAUGUAUAGUAAGUGUUUAGCAUAUGGCUGGGACAUGGUCAAAGGUCGGUAAAUGGUAAUGAUACAUGGAUUAUAAUGGAAGUACAACAUUAAUCCCUUAAUGCUGGCCAGGAGGUGUGGGUCAGCGAUCCUGAAGGCAGGGGAAGGGGCCAGUAGGGCCAGACCACAACCACAACUACUCUUCUCAGCAUGUGAAUUAACUGAUUGAAUCCUUUUGUCCCCAUGUUGCAUGUGAGGAAACUAAAGCACAGAGAGGUUAGUGACUUGCCCCAGGACACACAGCCAAGAGGUAGUGAAGCCCAGAUUCAAAUUCUAGUCAUCUGGCUCCAAGCCUGAGCUGGCCACCACUGUUCCAUAGGGUAUCUCAAGGGAAGUGUGGAAGGAGGCUCUGAGAAGAGUCUCUGGCAUGCAGAGGCAGACCCACAGCCGACUUGCACAGCUCUGACUUCCGGACAUGAGCCUCUGGAAGUCCUAGGGAAAGGUCUCAGAGCAGGUCCCUCAGGGAAGCCCACAGAAUGGUUGGACUGGCCUGGUUCUUCUCAAGUUCUUCUCAGGCCCAAGACCUUGGUACUCAGUUCUGCUCAGCCCAGCCACUGUGAUUAGCACCCAAGGGUGCAAUUAACUCCUCAGAACCAAGGCUAGGGCACUAAAGGGAAGGAGUAUCUCCAUGUUCUGGCUUACAAGGCAUUCCUCAGACCCUCAGAGAGCCUGGAGACAACUAGAGACCCAAAUCCUUCCAGGGACUAGAAAUAGCGGGCCCUGCACACUCAUGGGAGACUCUGUGUACCCUGCUGAAGGGCAAGCUGCUUCCAACUCCUUCUCAAAGGGAAUGAAUUUCCCUCAAUGCAACUUUCUUUUUUCUUUUCUUUUUUUUUUUUUUUUUUUUUUUUGAGACAGCGUCUCACUCUGUCGCCCAGACUGCUGGAGUGCAGUGGCGUGAUCUCGGCUCACUGGCAACCUCCACCUCCCAGGCUCAAGCAAUUCUCCUGCCUCAGCCUCCCGAGUAGCUGGGA